GGCUUAAUGGUCUAGUGGUAUGAUUCUUGCUUUGGGUGCAAGAGGUCCUUGGUUCAAUUCCGAGUUGAGCCC
rnacentral:tRNA from 2 species